CAGUGUGUACCAGGAGGGAACCCAGUGAGAUGGGCCUGGAAAACAGGGAGAAGGCAUUCUUUCUGCAAACCAGCUGAGGCACCAGAGAAUAAAAGGAAGCUCCUCCAGUCUGGCACUCAGGAAAAGCAUCGCACAAAAGCCAAGUUUCUCACAUCUCUUCUGUCCCAAGAUGCGUUCUUAACAAGCCUGCCAGCAGACCUGAAAGGCAGAAUAGAUGCCUUUGGAAAUUAAGGUGAUCGUCUUUCUGAAGCCUUCCCAGAAGUCAUUCAGCCCAUCACUAUUCACCAGACGUGCUGUGACUAGUUCUUCGAAGUUUCCACCUUGAAAUCCCCACAAUGAUGGACUGCAAGGUGGACUUACAAGUCAAAACAAAUCCUUUCUCCUCCAAGUUGCUUUUAACCAGAAUGUUUUUUAUCAAGGCAACAGAAAUGAAGACAGAGCACCACAAAUCAACUUUUUGUUAGGUUUUAAUGGCCGUGCUUAGCCUUCACAAAUCCAGAUGUUGGAGUUCAAUAGCGCAUUGAAUCAUCUGAAGCAUCUUUGAGGACCCACUGUUACCUUUGUGCCUGACUUAAGUGUUCCAACCUUUCAUUUUCGAACACAGUCUCUCUUAUCUCAUUGGACCCCAUUUCCUGUCAUUUUGUCCAGCAAUUAGACAGUGCACCCAGACAAUACACUGUUCCUCAAAUGACUCUCUCACACUCAUUGUAAACUGUCCAGGGUCAGCAUGGGGUUUAUGGCACAACAGUACUACUAGCUAAGUCAGCGAGGCUGCCCCAGACAAAAGAGCCCUGGCUAGCUCACUGACCCUUUGACUCUUUCAUCGACACUGGCACACUCAGGUUGCCAGUUAAAGCCCCUGUAAUAACAGCCAACUGCUCACAAGCAUCUGGGCUCUUAAUGAAACUACAUCUCUUUCUUCCCUAGAGGGAAGGAAGAAUUGUUGGUUUUCUCUUUCAAUUAUUUUUCCAGUCUAUUAAAUUGUCACAGCCCUUGUGUCUCUGUAAGAGGUGGGUGUCAUCGUAGCUCAUCUCCCGGAGCCUGGGAACAGUGGUGCCAUAGGGAGUUGCUUUGUGAGUCUGUUUUCCCAUCACCAAAAAGAAGCAGAUACAGAUGGAGACAUUCACAUGCUGUGGGUGUCCGGGAGAGAUUGAUGGGACACGCAACAAGCGGGAAGAGGAUGUUUAUGCCAUUGGGUUAUAUUAAAUAUGCAAUUUUAAUCCA